UCCUUCUUAGCUCAGUUGGUAGAGCGCGUCACUAGUACGUCCAUCCGCGGAUUAUGACGAGGUCAGUCGUUCGAGUCGGCUAGAAGGAA